rnacentral:lncRNA from 1 species
GGUCAACACACUAGUCAAAUUCUCCAAUCAAUUUAAGUGGGGAACAAUGGAAGUCAAUUCGGUCACUAGUGUCAAUUCGAUUAAUGGUUUCGAUCAAGUGGGGUUUAAGGCUAAAAUUAUCACGAUAACAGCAGCACAAGAUUUUAAUUGAUGCAAUUUUAAAAAUGAAGCAGUAGUAUAAACUAAUACUAAAUAGAGAUCAAGGACUCCCUGUUGUUUAGUUUUGAUUAUUUGUAUGCCGAUUGAUCUGAAUUGCCAACUUAUGAGCCCCAACUAUGCUUCUGUUCUUCCCUUCGUGUCCAAUGGUUUUAGCCCCUGUUGACUGUAACUUGUGCUGGUUCUUGUGUGAACGUAAAACUGAGUGUGGUGACUAUGGCUUUUAGAUUGUUGAGAUGGACGAGGAAAUAUAUGAGUGUGGUAACUGUGGUGGAAAUGUAUGAUCUUGGGUUGGUGGUGGUGGCCUAUGGCAAUGAAGCGGUAGUGCUUUGGAUGCCUGAGUACAAUAGAUAAUGAAGUGGUGGCGUGAUGGUGAUUAGAGGCGCCGGCGGCAAGAGAGUGGUUGUGAGAGAGGAAUCGGGUGAAAGUGUGGGGUACUUGAUAUAAAUGAAUUGGUUAUAAUCGAGCUUGGUCGGAUAUUUGGGACUGGGCCAGAUGGGAAGGGGUUUGGAUCCUGUUAUAGAGAUGGGCCAGCUGGGGUUAGUGUUUGGGGAGUGGGCCUGGGUCGUAGAGAGUAGGCUGGGUUAGUUGGGCUAAAUGUAAUUGGACCGUGUGUAAGUAGGAUUGAAUGUUAGGAUUAGAAUUUGUGAAACAACACUACAAUUGUAUAGAAGAAACAGUAGCAAACGAGAUUUUUUUUUUUUUUUUGGGUGGGGGGAGAACUGAAAUUGCAGGAAAAACCUAAACUGAAAUUUCCG